AUACUUACCUGGACGGGGUCAAUGGCUGAUCAAGAAGGGUCAUGGCCUAGGCGUGCGACUUCCAUUGCACUCGGGAGGAGCACUCACCUAACAUCUCCUCAGGUGGGAGAGUGUACAUCAUAAUUUGUGUUAGUGGGGGCCUGCAUUCACGCGGCCCCUAC